UACAGAGGGUGCGAGCGUUGUCCGGAAUCACUGGGCGUAAAGGGCGCGUAGGUGGCGCCCCAAGUCGAUGGUGAAAGCUCGCCGCUCAACGGCGAGUCGGCCACCGAUACUGGGUUGCUGGAGCACUGUAGAGGCAGAUGGAAUUCCGGGUGUAGCGGUGGAAUGCGUAGAGAUCCGGAAGAACACCGGUGGCGAAGGCGGUCUGCUGGGCAGUUGCUGACACUGAGGCGCGACAGCGUGGGGAGCAAACAGG
rnacentral:rRNA from 1 species